rnacentral:tRNA from 1 species
CAGUUGAUAGUUUAAUAAAAAUAUUAAUUUUGGAGAUUAAUGAUGAGAAGUUUCUUUCAACUGA